rnacentral:lncRNA from 1 species
AUGGCAUCACUACUGCUCAUGUGCAGUGAGCGGGGGAACAGCACCUGGGGAGCAGUGAUGCAGGAGCAUGAGGACUUGCACACAGCGGAGCACUGCCCGUGUCCCACCACCUCCAGCCGGGUUUGCACCACGUGCUGCACCAUGCACGGCAGGGGAGCAGCUGUGUGUUCCUGGGUGCCAACAAAACCUUCCACAUCAGGAUCUUUUCUGAUCUUUCCAAAUCAUUUUUUCCUGAUCUUCCCCUGCAAACCUAGCAGCUUUGUGCUGGCAGCAAGCUGCUGGGUGCUCCCCAAGACCUGCACUGCAGCUAAGCCGCAUUCCAAGCCCCCGGUGCAGUUCAGUCUGUUUGCUUGCUCCUUGCACAUUCACUCCAUACCCUGCCGAGGGGACGAGGCUCACACUCUGCACAGGGGGAGCUGCCCAGGUUGCUCUGGCCAUCGCCUGCCCCAUGUGUUGGGCCCCGCUGCCCACGUUUGCCUGGUGCAAGCUGGUGAGGUGCCCCACCAGACCCCAGCCACACACAGACCCGCAGAGCCCCAGAUAGCCCCAUCCUUCCCACGAGCUUCCAGCUCUCCCAUUGUUCACAUCCCACAUGAGCAGGGACUCCUCCUCCUGCCCGGGGGAGGGAAUCAGUGGGGCACAGCCACCAUCCUGACCCCCAACCCUACACGGCACAUGGGGACAGCUCUGAAGGGAUGGAUGUCCUAUGGGAUCACACCCAUGGCAGAGGUCUUCCUGCCCCACGCCAUGCCCUGGUGCCCAAACUUUUGGGGCUAUGCCGGGGAGCAGCCGCGGGGGAGCCAGGCCCUGGCCAUUGCUGAGCAGCGUGUCAGCGCUGCGGAGGCACCGCGUGAAUGGAAAUCAUUAUCAUCCGCCAGACCACACACAUGCACACACGCUCCGUGCGCAGCUCACCCCAUUAUCCCACUGAAAGGGAGCCGGGGCCGGUGGUCUCCACGGGUCUCACCUCUGCAUCGGAGAGGAGGGCAGCUGCAAUCUGCUCCCUUUUAUGCAUAUUCAGCGUGA